rnacentral:ncRNA from 1 species
CUCUUAUCAAGAGAGGUGGAGGGACUGGCCCUAUGAAGCCCGGCAACCGUUAAACAUUCUGUUUAAAAUGGUGCCAAAUCCUACAGAACAAUCGGUUCUGAUAGAUGAGAG